UACAGAGGUCCCAAGCGUUGUUCGGAUUCAUUGGGCGUAAAGGGUGCGUAGGUGGCGUCGUAAGUCGGGUGAUGAAUCUCGGGGCUUAACUCCGAAACUGCAUUCGAUACUGCGGUGCUUGAGGACUGGAGAGGAGACUGGAAUUUACGGUGUAGCAGUGAAAUGCGUAGAGAUCGUAAGGAAGACCAGUGGCGAAGGCGGGUCGUCUGGAAAGUCCUGACACUGAGGCACGAAGGCCAGGGGAGCAA
rnacentral:rRNA from 1 species